rnacentral:rRNA from 1 species
UAGGGAAUCUUCCACAAUGGACGCAAGUCUGAUGGAGCAACGCCGCGUGAGUGAAGAAGGUUUUCGGACCGUAAAGCUCUGUUGUUGGUGAAGAAGGAUAGAGGUAGUAACUGGCCUUUAUUUGACGGUAAUCAACCAGAAAGUCACGGCUAACUACGUGCCAGCAGCCGCGGUAAUCGUAGGUGGCAAGCGUUGUCCGGAUUUAUUGGGCGUAAAGCGAGCGCAGGCGGAAGAAUAAGUCUGAUGUGAAAGCCCUCGGCUUAACCGAGGAAUUGCAUCGGAAACUGUUUUUCUUGAGUGCAGAAGAGGAGAGUAGAACUCCAUGUGUAGCGGUGGAAUGCGUAGAUAUAUGGAAGAAUACCAGUGGCGAAGGCGGCUCUCUGGUCUGCAACUGACGCUGAGGCUCGAAAGCAUGGGUAGCGAACAGGAUUAGAUACCCUGGUAGUCCAUGCCGUAAACGAUGAGUGCUAAGUGUUGG